UACGAAGGGUGCAAGCGUUAGUCGGAAUUACUGGGCGUAAAGCGUGCGUAGGUGGUUUCUUAAGUCCGUUGUGAAAGCCCUGGGCUCAACCUGGGAACUGCAGUGGAUACUGGGAGGCUAGAGUGUGUCAGAGGAUGGUGGAAUUCCCGGUGUAGCGGUGGAAUGCGCAGAUAUCGGGAGGAACACCCGUAGCGAAGGCGGUUCUCUGGGCCAAUACUGACGCUGAGGAGCGAAAGCGUGGGGAGCAAACAGG
rnacentral:rRNA from 1 species